UUUCCAGACUCCUACGGGAGGCAGCAGUGGGGAAUAUUGGGCAAUGGAGGAAACUCUGACCCAGCAAUGCCGCGUGAAUGAAGAAGGUCUUCGGAUUGUAAAGUUCUUUAGUCAGGGAAGAAGUCAAUGACGGUACCUGAAGAAUAAGCUCCGGCUAACUACGUGCCAGCAGCCGCGGUAAUACGUAGGGAGCAAGCGUUGUUCGGAAUGACUGGGCGUAAAGGGUGCGUAGGCGGUUGUACAAGUUAGAAGUGAAAUACCCAGGGCUUAACUCGGGUGCUGCUUCUAAAACUGUAUGACUUGAGUGCAGUAGAGGUUAGUGGAAUUCCUAGUGUAGCGGUGGAAUGCGUAGAUAUUAGGAGGAACACCAGAGGCGAAGGCGGCUAACUGGACUGCAACUGACGCUGAGGCACGAAAGUGUGGGGAGCAAACAGGAUUAGAUACCCCUGUAC
rnacentral:rRNA from 1 species